ACAGGUCCAGCUUAAACACUAUCCAUCUUGGUGAAGCAGAAAGGCCCAGAAAAUCUUAGGGACAUGAAAAGUGGGGAGAAAAAAAUAAUGCCCUCUUUCUAGAAUCCAUUUGAAGCCUUUGCCAGCAGCAAAGCAAACACCUUAGCACAAUUAAUGACUGCUUAUGGCCUUUGUCCCUCCCCAGUCGUGAGCAAGCACUUUUCUGUAGGUAGAUCCUAUCCUAUUGUAAUCCCAGCCAAGCCUUCUGAGGAGUCACCUUAUGUGUCUAUCUCUUUUUAUCAAAUGGAAGAAUGUGAAAAGGAGAUUCUUUGAAGCCUUUGAAGUGUAACCCAAGAGUCAAAAGGGUACAGAUGGCUGACUCUAGACAAGCAACUGCUUCCUCCUCCAUUCAAGUGGUACUCGAAUGAAAACGAGGACAUGGCCAUUCCCAGUCCAUAUUGUAGAUAUGAGGGAGAGAACACGAAGGCAUCAGGAAGGGUCCAUCCAGUCUGAACGGUACCAGGAGACCAAACUGGGCCAUGAAAGGGGAAACAGGAGGAGAGUGGGAGAGGAAGGGAAGACAGAAGGAAGAGGAGAGAUGCUAAGAACGAGCCAGCCAGGAGCCAAGAGAGAAGAACCAGGGGGGUGUGGCCAAAAUGACUGAGUUAUGUAGGAAUCAGAGAAGCUGCGAGAAGGGAAGGGAAGCUCAGUGGUUGAGAGGGUUAGGAAAGGGGGUCAGGGUGAGAGGUGCCAGGACUUUUGUAAUAGGUAGUCACUUUGAGCUUGGGGCUUUGGUGUGUUAAUAGAAACCUCAGUUAGCCAUCGGUCCCAGUUUCUUUGACACAGUUGGGCAUGUCUUGGUUUCCCCUACUCUCCCUUGAGAAACUUAUACUCUCCACUUGGGUAUGUAUCAUUUUUUAUGAGUGCCUUUCUUCCUCUUAACCCUCAUGCUUAAAUCUAUAUUAAAAUAUCUUUAUGCAUAUGCAUGUAACAACAAUUAGGGGGGAAAUGGUCACAAAUUGGAAAGACAGCAAGGAGGGUACAUUGGAGGUUUUGAGGGAGGAAAGGGAAGGGGGAAAUCGUAUAAUCCUAUUAUAAUCUCAAAAUAUAGUAAUAAAAAUACAUCUCCAAUAAAACCAUCUACUUUUCUUGACUAUGCUAGCUGGUUCUGAAUUCCUCCACAGCUUGGACGCCAUGAUUGUGGUUUGACCUGAGUUGAGGUCCCUAGAAGCUUGGUGUAACUCCUCACUGUAUCCAGGGUAGCAGCUGUGACUCCGCCCCCUACUCAGUAGAACUUACCAGUCUGUCUCAUUUUGUGAAUCUGUUCCCCUAAUGCAUCCCCUGUCUGUCUGUGUACUUACCUACUUUCUCAUCCCCCACCUACUUAUCCAUCGCUUCUUGGUUUGGUCUCUGUGGAGAACCCUGAUGAAGAAACCGUCCCCCAAGUGGUGGUGUAGAAGAACGUGGACCCGGGUAAGACUAACUCUGAGCCACCUGCACUGGCCACCUUCCUACUCAAGCCAGUAUCCAUCCCAGUAUUGUCACAACUCUGUGACACGAAAGAACCUUUACACAAGGUGAAAUGUCUCUACUAUCAAGGCUGGCUAUGCUUCACCCAGACAGCCAACCCUACAGCUUCUGCUGGGGCUUCAGAGUUCAGCCUACUCAUACAGAUUUCAGAAACAGAUUGAGGGCGGAUGGUCCUACUGGGACACGCAACCCGACCUUUCUAUGUAGGGAUUGCCUGGAGUGGCAUGGGGUGGAGGGUGAGCCAGGGAUCCUGACUGAUUUGACAAAUGAAUUAAUUACCAAGGGAUGGUGUGAAUCAUUAGAGCUCCGGGGGCUUGCCAACACAGAUAAACAAAUUGGAUUUCAGUGUGCUGUCCCGAAUCACUGGCUUCCUGCAGGCACUUACACACAAUGCCAACCUGAGCAUGAAGGAGUCUGCCUGUUUGCCAAGGUCAAAACAGACCCCUGUUCCUAGCAGGCAAGUUCCCCUCACCUGGUGACAUACCGGUUAUUGUGUACAUUGUGAAGGACUAGAUCCAUGCUCACAAAAGGUUCGUUAGCAGCUUCCUGUUGUUAUCCACGGCUUCUUCAUUCGUUAUGUAAAUAUCUUACAGACAGAAUCCAGCAGAUUUAUUUGGAAUACUCUCCUCUGAACAUCUCUGGUUAACUAGAUUUCUGUUGAACUGGAGUUAAGCAAAACCCGUGUAGUUGCAUCCUUCGUUAUUGAAAAUCCUCAAAACUGUGUUAGUUCACGUACCUGCCUGAGAUCUUGGAGUAGAAUGAAAAUAAUUGCAUUUUUGCUUCAUGAUCAGGUAUCUUGCAGUACCCCGAGGGCACAAUCCUGCCUAUCUGUGAGGAUUAAAAUUUAACUGCAGUUACAGAGUUCUGUGAGACAUCCGUCCUCUCCUGCUCUGAGAUGAAGAAGAAACCUGUGGGCCAUUGUGGAAACUGCAGACCCUGGCCUUCUUAAGCUACAGCCAGCAGAGGGUCAGGAGCUGAGUGGUUUGUUUCAUGGUCGUCCAGCUGGCCAUAUGGGUCCACCUGGGAAUGCAAGAUGCAAGAUGACCCUGACUGCUAAGGUUCUGUGUCCUGGGGAUCAAGUCAGACUGGCCACUCUCAAAGAGUGAAGAGAAGAAGAGAGAAGUUCUGGACCUGGCUCCCCAGGCUAUCAGAGCUGGGCUUUCCUGCUUGAGUGGGUCUUCCCAGCAAUGGAAUCUUGACACAUCCUUGCAAGGAGGGUUCCUGCUGGCCCGGAGACUGUGGCUGCUCUCUCCUGACUUUCAUUGUCCCCCCAGUGUGAAUGACAUUUGGGAGUCUGGAAGCAGAGAAGUCUGGAACAAAGUAAACAGCUAACCAAGCAGAGUUUGUGGGAGAUUUACACAGAAACUGAUCCCCAGGCACAGCCUUGGGAUUUAUAACAAGGCUGGGUAAUUUGUUCUUGCUUGCUAAGAUAAGGGUAAACAAAUUCCAUGCUGAGAUGUAAGCCCCUAUCUGCAGAAGUCAGGAAGGAAUCUGUGCCCUGUUGCUCAAUUACCGGCUUGACAAAUUACCCUCAGAAGCUGUGUCUUGCAGACUUUAUCAAGGGGUCACACUGAGCCUCAAGUGUUAAAGGUAGAGAUGGCUUGCCUUGACGCAGAGGCACUUCUGUGUCUGUGGCAGACAGCUCAGAAAUGGAAGUGACUGCAAUAUUUGGAAGAGCAUUGAAAGGCAAUGGGCUAGUCUUGACCAACUCUGUGGUACCCAGGGGAGAUGAAGAUGUAUGUCAGAAGGCCAUACGUGGCCUCAGGCCCUGAACCACAUCCAUAGGGGCCCUGGCUCUGGUAAUUAAACGUUCUGUUUCCUGUG